UACGGAGGGUGCAAGCGUUAUCCGGAUUCACUGGGUUUAAAGGGUGCGUAGGCGGGCAGGUAAGUCAGUGGUGAAAUCUCCGGGCUUAACCCGGAAACUGCCAUUGAUACUAUCUGUCUUGAAUAUGGUGGAGGUAAGCGGAAUAUGUCAUGUAGCGGUGAAAUGCUUAGAGAUGACAUAGAACACCCAUUGCGAAGGCAGCUGACUACGCCUAUAUUGACGCUGAGGCACGAAAGCGUGGGGAUCAAACAGG
rnacentral:rRNA from 1 species